CGAACGGGUGAGUAAUGCGUGACCAACCUGCCCCAUGCUCCAGAAUAGCUCUUGGAAACGGGUGGUAAUGCUGGAUGCUCCAACUUGACGCAUGUCUUGUUGGGAAAGUGUUUAGUGGCAUGGGAUGGGGUCGCGUCCUAUCAGCUUGUAGGCGGGGUAAUGGCCCACCUAGGCUUCGACGGGUAACCGGCCGGAGAGGGCGGACGGCCACAUUGGGACUGAGAUACGGCCCAGACUCCUACGGGAGGCAGCAGAA
rnacentral:rRNA from 1 species